rnacentral:rRNA from 1 species
GUGAGGAAUAUUGGACAAUGGGCGAGAGCCUGAUCCAGCCAUGCCGCGUGCAGGAAGACGGCCCUAUGGGUUGUAAACUGCUUUUACAGAGGAAGAAACACUCCCUUGCGAGGGAGCUUGACGGUACUCUGCGAAUAAGGAUCGGCUAACUCCGUGCCAGCAGCCGCGGUAAUACGGAGGAUCCAAGCGUUAUCCGGAAUCAUUGGGUUUAAAGGGUCCGUAGGCGGGAUAAUCAGUCAGUGGUGAAAGUCUGCAGCUCAACUGUAGAAUUGCCAUUGAUACUGUUAUCCUUGAGUUAUUAUGAAGUGGUUAGAAUGAGUAGUGUAGCGGUGAAAUGCAUAGAUAUUACUCAGAAUACCGAUUGCGAAGGCAGAUCACUAAUAAUACACUGACGCUGAUGGACGAAAGCGUAGGUAGCGAACAGGAUUAGAAACCCUAGUAGUCC